UGGACCACAGCUUUGGCACAACUCACACAUCCAUAAUGAGGGACUGCCUGUUCCAGGGAGGUUUUAUUACAAAAGAAAGUGCACAAGUAUAUUAGGAAGAGGGGGGAAAACAGAGAAGUCUAUUUUUUUGGCAAAGCCUUGUAUUAUAGAUCUCAUUUCUCUGGUUGCAGCUGCCUUUAGGCACCCAUUUCAGUGAGCUGCUCUGUUCUGCUUAGCUGUAGAUGCUUCCCAAAUUUCCUCUUUGGUGAAACAGGCAUUUGUGCAGGUUCCCCAUAAAAAUGACUGAUUUGGGUUUUACCAGGAGCUCUGGCACUUCUCCACUACAAGAAAGAAUUGCAUUUAUAGAGAGGUUUAUCAGGAUGGGAGUAGUGAAACAAACAUUUUAAAUGUCCAGCAGAAUCCUCUGUCUUGCCCCAAACAAGCCUCCCUGGGCAGGAAUUUCAGCCAUUCUGGAAUGAGAGCCUCCUGAAAGGAACCUGUUUCCCUGUGGGACUGCCCAGCUUUCAGCCCUGCUGCUGGGGGAAGGAGGAUGAAGGAGGGCAGCAUGACAAUGGCCUGCGCCUCACGCCCACUGCUCAGAUACAUAAUGGGGCUGGGAGGCUGCUCUAAAAACCACUCUGGUCCUGUAUUGAAAUUCCAUCCAGCUCCCUUGGAACGAGAUACAAAGGUGGAUAAAGAAAUCUGGAUCACACAGAUAAGCUCCUGAAGAGGAGACCAGGCACAAUGGAGUGGAAAGCAGGAAUGUUAUGUCUGCUUGGGCAGGGAAGAUGUGUGGGUUCUUCUGCUGGAAUAAUUUUGUGCACUUUUGCUCUGGAGAAGCUGAAUUUCAGUCUGAGAGUCCUUGCAGUCAAAGGACAGCAUUGCUGUGCAGUGGGCAGAGCUGGGAAUGGAUAUGUUUUUCCCAGUGUUUGGGUGUGCUGUGGGAUAUUCAUUGGGAUAUUCGGUGCUGCUUUUUGGACAAACUUCCUGAU